rnacentral:rRNA from 1 species
GGAAGGGAACCCGGGGAACUGAAACAUCUAAGUACCCGGAGGAAAAGAAAGAAAACUCGAUUCCGUAAGUAGCGGCGAGCGAACGCGGAGGAGCCUAAACCGGAAUGCGUGCAUUCCGGGGUUACGGACUGCAUUUAAGAUUCUUUGAAGCUAACAGAACGGUUUUGGGAAAGCCGGCCGGAGAGGGUGAAAGCCCCGUACGUGAAAGCUGAUGAGACUGAGCAGGAUCCAGAGUACCACGAGACACGUGGAACCUUGUGGGAAAUCAGGGGGACCACCCCCUAAGGCUAAAUACUACUUAGUGACCGAUAGCGCAUAGUACUGUGAAGGAAAGGUGAAAAGGACCCCGGGAGGGGAGUGAAAGAGAACCUGAAACCCUGUGUCUACAAGCUGUGGAAGUGCUUUAUAUGCACGACCGCGUACUUUUUGUAGAACGGUCCGGCGAGUUACGCUUACUGGCAAGGUUAAGCACUUCAGGUGCGGAGCCGUAGGGAAACCAAGUCUUAAGAGGGCCUUAAGUCAGUAGGAGUAGACCCGAAACCGGGUGAUCUAUCCAUGUCCAGGUUGAAGCUGCCGUAAGAGGUAGUGGAGGACCGAACCCACAUCCGUUGAAAAGGGUGGGGAUGAGGUGUGGAUAGGGGAGAAAUUCCAAUCGAACCCGGAGAUAGCUGGUUCUCCUCGAAAUAGCUUUAGGGCUAGCCUCGAUACAGAUUUGCGGAGGUAGAGCACUGAAUUUCCUAGGGGGCGUCAAAGCCUACCGAAGAAUAUCAAACUCCGAAUGCCGCGUAAUCGAUUAUCGGGAGUCAGACUGCACGAGAUAAGUUGGGCGGUCAAAAGGGAAAGAGCCCAGACCUUCAGUUAAGGUCCCCAAGUGCGCGUUAAGUGGAAAAGGAUGUGGGAUUUCGAAGACAACCAGGAUGUUGGCUCAGAAGCAGCCAUCCAUUCAAAGAGUGCGUAAUAGCUCACUGGUCGAGAGGUCCUGCGCCGAAAAUGUCCGGGGCUGAAACGCGCCACCGAAACUAAGGAACCGAAAGGUUGGUAGAGGAGCAUUGCAUGCGGGAAGAAGCAGUACCGUAAGGAGCUGUGGACUGCAUGGAAGAGAGAAUGCCGGAAUGAGUAGCGAGAAUAAGGUGGGAAUCCUUAUGGCCGAAUAUCCAAGGUUUCCAGAGUAAAGCUGAUCUGCUCUGGGUAAGUCGGGGCCUAAGGCGAGGACGAGAGUCGUAGCCGAUGGACAACAGGUGGAGAUUCCUGUACUGCGGUAUGACAGAACUGUGGGGACACGUAAGGAAAGCGGAAGCCGGGAAUGGAAAGCCCGGUGCAAGCGGGGUACCAGUCACUUUGGCAAAUCCGGGUGGCAAUGGGAAGCCGUGAUGCGGAGCGAAAUAAAGUAGCGAAGUCCGUGAGCCAUGCGUCAAGAAAAGCCGCUAUCGUUUAUACCGUACCCGU